UGGGGAAUUUUGGACAAUGGGGGAAACCCUGAUCCAGCCAUCCCGCGUGUGCGAUGAGGGCCUUCGGGUUGUAAAGCACUUUUGGCAGGAAAGAAACGUCAUGGGUUAAUACCCCGAGAAACUGACGGUACCUGCAGAAUAAGCACCGGCUAACUACGUGCCAGCAGCCGCGGUAAUACGUAGGGUGCAAGCGUUAAUCGGAAUUACUGGGCGUAAAGCGUGCGCAGGCGGUUCGGUAAGAAAGAUGUGAAAUCCCGGAGCUCAACUUUGGAACUGCAUUUUUGACUACCAGGCUGGAGUGUGUCAGAGGGUGGUUGAAUUCCGCGUGUAGCAGUGAAAUGCGUAGAUAUGCGGAGGAACACCGAUGGCGAAGGCAGCCUCCUGGGAUAACACUGACGCUCAUGCACGAAAGCGUGGGGAGCAAACAGG
rnacentral:rRNA from 1 species